CUGGUACUGAGACACGGACCAGACUCCUACGGGAGGCGGCAGUGAGGAAUAUUGGACAAUGGAGGCAACUCUGAUCCAGCCAUGCCGCGUGCAGGAAGACUGCCCUAUGGGUUGUAAACUGCUUUUAUACAGGAAGAAAUAUGCCUACGUGUAGGUAUUUGACGGUACUGUACGAAUAAGGAUCGGCUAACUCCGUGCCAGCAGCCGCGGUAAUACGGAGGAUCCAAGCGUUAUCCGGAAUCAUUGGGUUUAAAGGGUCCGUAGGCGGUCUUUUAAGUCAGAGGUGAAAUCCUACAGUUCAACUGUAGAAUUGCCUUUGAUACUGAAAGACUUGAGCUAUUGUGAAGUAGUCAGAAUGUGUGGUGUAGCGGUGAAAUGCAUAGAGAUCACACAGAAUACCGAUUGCGAAGGCAGAUUACUAACAAUAUACUGACGCUGAGGGACGAAAGCGUGGGUAGCGAACAGGAUUAGAUACCCUGGUAGUCCACGCCGUAAACGAUGGAUACUAGCUGUUCGACCAACAUUGGUUGGUUGAGUGGCUAAGCGAAAGUGAUAAGUAUCCCACCUGGGGAGUACGGUCGCAAGACUGAAACUCAAAGGAAUUGACGGGGGCCCGCACAAGCGGUGGAGCAUGUGGUUUAAUUCGAUGAUACGCGAGGAACCUUACCAGGGCUUAAAUGUAAGUUGCAUGAUUUAGAGAUAGAUCUUUCUUCGGACUACUUACAAGGUGCUGCAUGGUUGUCGUCAGCUCGUGCCGUGAGGUGUCAGGUUAAGUCCUAUAACGAGCGCAACCCCUGUCGUUAGUUGCCAGCAAGUUAAGUUGGGCACUCUAGCGAGACUGCCAGUGCAAACUGUGAGGAAGGUGGGGAUGACGUCAAAUCAUCACGGCCCUUACGUCCUGGGCUACACACGUGCUACAAUGGUCGGUACAGAGAGCAGCCACUACGCGAGUAGGAGCGAAUCUAUAAAACCGAUCUCAGUUCGGAUCGCAGUCUGCAACUCGACUGCGUGAAGCUGGAAUCGCUAGUAAUCGGAUAUCAGCCAUGAUCCGGUGAAUACGUUCCCGGGCCUUGUACACACCGCCCGUCAAGCCAUGGAAGCUGGGAGUACCUGAAGUCGGUUACCGCAAGGAGCUGCCUAGGGUAAAACUGGUAACUGGGGCUAAGUCGUAACAAGGUAGCCGUACCGGAAGGUGCGGCUGGAUCACCUCCUU
rnacentral:rRNA from 1 species